UACAGAGGGGGCAAGCGUUGUUCGGAAUUACUGGGCGUAAAGGGCUCGUAGGCGGCCAACUAAGUCGGAUGUGAAAUCCCCAGGCUCAACCUGGGAACUGCAUCCGAUACUGGAUGGCUUGAAUCCGGGAGAGGGAUGCAGAAUUCCAGGUGUAGCGGUGAAAUGCUUAGAUAUCGGGAGGAACACCAGUGGCGAAGGCGGCUUCCUGGCCUGUUCUUGGACGCUGAGGCGCGAAAGCUAGGGGAGCAAACGGGG
rnacentral:rRNA from 1 species